rnacentral:rRNA from 1 species
AGUGAACGCUGGCGGUAGGCCUAACACAUGCAAGUCGAACGGCAGCACAGUAAGAGCUUGCUCUUACGGGUGGCGAGUGGCGGACGGGUGAGGAAUACAUCGGAAUCUACUUUUUCGUGGGGGAUAACGUAGGGAAACUUACGCUAAUACCGCAUACGACCUACGGGUGAAAGCAGGGGAUCUUCGGACCUUGCGCGAUUGAAUGAGCCGAUGUCGGAUUAGCUAGUUGGCGGGGUAAAGGCCCACCAAGGCGACGAUCCGUAGCUGGUCUGAGAGGAUGACAGGCCGCAUGGGGACGGAGACAAGGCCAAGAAUGGGUGGGGAGGCAGCAGUGGGGAAUAGGGCAGAGUGGGCGGAAGCAGGAUGAAGAAACGCCGCGUGCGGGAUGACGGCCUGCGGGUGGUAAACCGAUCUCGCCGGGGACGAAGCGUGAGUGAAGGGAAUGGGUAAAGAAGCACCGGCUAACGACGUG